rfam:Morus notabilis contig19693, whole genome shotgun sequence.
AGUCCGUGGUAUAGACACUUCCUUAGUAACUCCUUAAAACGCUCCCAUGAUUCACACAGAGCUUCCCACUCCAACUGUUGAAAUGAUGUGAUAUCAUUCUUGAGUUU